AAUCCCUGUGAUGAGUGAUUUCUAUAUUUAACGUUAAAAGUAGACUGACCUUUAAUGAAGAUAAAUAUCAAUUCUGAGGGAUG